UUCCCCCAAAUUAGCCCGCUCCUGAUUUUCCCCCAAAUUAGCCCUAAGUUUUUCCAUCUAUUCACUCUUUCUCACCAGCUUUAGCCACACCAAACACCGAUUCAGAGAAGACGAUCUAAGACAAACAGAUUUUCCUUCUCUCGUUCUCUCACUAAACAUCCAUCUGUUUCUCCUCCACGCCACACCGCACCUGGAGAAGACGAAGACGACAGAGAAACUAUUGGGUAAUUUUUACUCUCCGACCUAGAGCAAGUUCAAAAGAUGCCAUGUGGGCUACAAAAAUUCAUUGUCUUGGUUUCUUUUGUCGAUUUUAAUCCACAAAUCCUUCUCCCUAUUUCUAUGGUGAGUUGAGUUGUGUUUGCUCAACUUCAGAUACAAACGCUAUUUUGCUGAUAAGAUGACAACAUAUUGAAAUACUGGUUGUAUUUUACUAGCAACAAAAUUGGUUGUAUUCACUCUUUUAGCACAUGCAACGCUAUCAUUAUGCUCAUUUUAGUGUCCCUUAAUUUUAAUGUCUUGCAUUUUGGAAAGAGCAACCCAAAACGUGUUUCUAGUGGGAAUCAGAGGGUUAUGUAGAAGGGUUAGAGAAACUAUUUGCUAAUGGAGAAGGAUUAAGGGCUCAUAUGAUAUUAGACUGCUGGCUCGGGAUUGAAACAUCAGCCCUAGGAUUUUUGCCAUGUAGCUGUUUUUUUCUCCUUAUUUUGGUAUCCAUAUAUAGUAGUUUUGGAGACUUUCUGCUUAGUUGGAUGUGUAUUUUGUAUGUUCUGAUUAUGGUAUUGGAAUUAGAAGUUACGAAUGUUCUUAUUCGAAGCUUUUGAUUUUGUAUGUUCUAAAUGUAACAGUGAUGUGAUAAAAUAUUGAAUGCCUUAGAACUACACUUUUGAAGUAUAUUAGAGGAACUAGUUAUCUUGUCUCUUUUCUUACACUCGGAGUAGUAGUCUGCAAGCAUAAAAAAAGCAUAACCUCAAUACGUAGUGGAUUAGAAGUAUUCUUGUAGUGAAAAUUAAGUUGUAACGGACUCUCUGCUAACUUGUAUAUGAUUAUAUUGAUUUGACUGUAAUGACCCAAGAGAUAAAGUCCCUCUUUCUUGUUCUUGAGUGUGAAUAAUGAUCUUAGUAUAUAAGUAGAGAUAAUGUGCCUUUCUUUUUGGUCUUUGCUUAAACAACUUUCACUGCCAAUUUGCAGAUAGAUUUCAACAAAAGAGUUGGACUCGUGAAGAUGUUACGAGGCAAAAUUCUAAAGUGUCCCCAUUGUUUGGGGGACGCAGUACAAUAGGUUUUGGCAAUGAUUGUCCAUUUUAAAAGUAUUAUACGUCAUUGUUGUGAAAAUAUUACACGCCGUCAUGUGGAAUUUAUAGGUUAUGCCUAGUGUGGUUUUUUUUUUUUUUGGGUAAGGUAAAAUUUUAUUAGAAAUCCACAUUACACAAAUUAGGGGCAUACCCCACUCCAACAAAACUAAGGGGCAUUCCCCAAAAAAAGCAACACGGCACAAGGCCAACCACUUACCUCAUCAGAGCUAGAAAGAGGAAAAACAAACAAGUAUUAAGAGUUUACAAAGACCCUGCUUGAAAAGUUCCAAUUCAGGCUGAGCAACCUAUUCACAUCAGACUUCCUAAUGUUCCUCAAAGAGCUCAUAUUGUCAUGAAUAUUGGAGGCAACUGCACCAAUA